GACGAACGCUGGCGGCGUGCCUAACACAUGCAAGUCGAGCGGGGUUGAAGCGAGGGGUAACUCGAGUUUCUACCUAGCGGCGGACGGGUGAGUAACGCGUGGGCAACCUGCCUCAAGGACUGGGAUAACAGCUCGAAAGGGCUGCUAAUACCGGAUAAGCCUAUGGCCUCGCAUGGGGCCAUGAGCAAAGGGGAAACCCGCCUUGAGAUGGGCCCGCGUCCCAUCAGCUAGUUGGUGAGGUAACAGCUCACCAAGGCGACGACGGGUAGCCGGCCUGAGAGGGUGACCGGCCACACUGGGACUGAGACACGGCCCAGACUCCUACGGGGGGCAGCAGUGGGGGAUCUUGCACAAUGGGCGAAAGCCUGAUGCAGCGACGCCGCGUGAGCGAAGAAGGCCCUUGGGUUGUAAAGCUCUGUCUGGAGGGACGAAGGAAGUGACGGUACCUCCGGAGGAAGCCACGGGCUAACUACGUAGCCAGCAGCCGCGGUAAGAUCA
rnacentral:rRNA from 1 species